GACGAACGCUGGCGGCGUGCUUAACACAUGCAAGUCGAGCGGUAAGGCCCUUUCGGGGGUACGACGAGCGGCGAACGGGUGAGUAACACGUGGGUGACCUGCCCUCAGCUCUGGGAUAAGCCUGGGAAACCGGGUCUAAUACCGGAUAUGACUCCAUGACGCAUGUUGUGGGGUGGAAAGCCUUGUGCGGCUGAGGAUGGGCCCGCGGCCUAUCAGCUUGUUGGUGGGGUGAGGCCUACCAAGGCGACGACGGGUAGCCGGCCUGAGAGGGCGACCGGCCACACUGGGACUGAGACACGGCCCAGACUCCUACGGGAGGCAGCAGUGGGGAAUCUUGCGCAAUGGGCGAAAGCCUGACGCAGCGACGCCGCGUGAGGGAU
rnacentral:rRNA from 1 species